UCAAUUUGAAACUGGUUGUAUUUAAUAUUUGUGUUAUACUUGUUUGGAUUGUUUUUGGCAGUUCACUCCAUUGACGCUGCGGAGAAAGAAGAUGCCAAGAAACCAAGAUUGACAGAGGAGCUAUCUACGGUCUAGUACUCGAUGGUGGUGAGAUGCAUGCAAGCUUUCUUUCUGGUUAUAUUUUACCGACUCUAGUUAUAUAUGACGAGACUUCUGCUACUUUUUAUUAUUUGUCUUGUUUGUUUGGUGUUUCUAGACUGCUAAGUUCUGCUCUGCUUUGUUUGCUCAAACUUUAAACUAUGUUUCUUUUGCUGUGGUUUCACAAACAUUUUAAAAAAUGUUUCUCAACUGGUGGCUUUGUUGACUGUGAGAUGGGUUCACGACUUCAUGUGUUUUUAAUUUCCUAAUAGGUAUAAAAGAACUGUGUUUUUA